UGGGGAAUAUUGCACAAUGGGCGGAAGCCUGAUGCAGCAACGCCGCGUGCGGGAUGACGGCCUUCGGGUUGUAAACCGCUUUCGCCUGUGACGAAGCGUGAGUGACGGUAAUGGGUAAAGAAGCACCGGCUAACUACGUGCCAGCAGCCGCGGUGAUACGUAGGGUGCGAGCGUUGUCCGGAUUUAUUGGGCGUAAAGGGCUCGUAGGCGGUUGAUCGCGUCGGAAGUGUAAUCUUGGGGCUUAACCCUGAGCGUGCUUUCGAUACGGGUUGACUUGAGGAAGGUAGGGGAGAAUGGAAUUCCUGGUGGAGCGGUGGAAUGCGCAGAUAUCAGGAGGAACACCAGUGGCGAAGGCGGUUCUCUGGGCCUUUCCUGACGCUGAGGAGCGAAAGCGUGGGGAGCGAACA
rnacentral:rRNA from 1 species